rnacentral:rRNA from 1 species
UACGUAGGUGGCAAGCGUUACUCGGAAUCACUAGGCGUAAAGCGCAGGUAGGCGGUUGGAUAAGUUUCUUGUGAAAGCUCCCGGCUUAACUGGGAGAGGCCAAGGAAUACUAUCUGACUAGAGUAUGGUAGGGGUAACUGGAAUUCCCGGUGUAGCGGUGAAAUGCUUAGAGAUUACAUGGAAUACCGAUUGCGAAGGCAGGUUACUACUGGUGGAUUGACGCUGAUGGACGAAAGCGUGGGUAGCAAACAGG